rnacentral:lncRNA from 1 species
CCGGACCGCCCGUGCGCGCCGCAAGGGCACCCUUGUGUCUUUUACCUUUUUCGAGGGGCCUUAGUGCAAGAACCAGGGACCCCUGUGCAAUUAAACCAUAGACGCGAGGGCUAGAUCGCAAGAUUGCCUCGGUAUUUUUUUGGGCAGAAAAUAUAGUGAAUUUUUCAAAAUGCACCCUAAAUUGUAGAAAAAUCAAAAAAAUGUCAAAUUAAUUUUGCUAGAAUCAGUAUGAAGUAUCGUUUUUGACAAAAAUACUUUUGGCCCAUGUCUCUAUUAGAAAUAAGGUUGCAUGAUUAUUUCUUGUAUAGCUCAUUUAAAUCAUAGUAAAUCAAGGAAAAAUACUAAAAAA